rnacentral:tRNA from 2 species
GGCGAUUUGGCCGAGCGGUCUAAGGCGUGCGACUCAAGCGCAAGCUUACCUGAUUCACAGGUUUCGCAUAGAGCAAUCUGCGUGGGUUCGAAUCCCACAGUCGUCA